rnacentral:rRNA from 1 species
UACGUAGGGGGCAAGCGUUAUCCGGAUUCACUGGGCGUAAAGGGAGCGCAGGCGGCGCGGCAAGUCUGAUGUGAAAGCCAGGGGCUCAACCCCGGGUCUGCAUUGGAAACUGUCGAGCUGGAGUGUCGGAGGGGUAAGCGGAAUUCCUAGUGUAGCGGUGAAAUGCGUAGAUAUUAGGAGGAACACCAGUGGCGAAGGCGGCUUACUGGACGAUGACUGACGCUGAGGCUCGAAAGCGUGGGGAGCAA